UGGGGAACCUUGCACAAUGGGGGCAACCCUGAUGCAGCGACGCCGCGUGAGCGAUGAAGCCCUUCGGGGCGUAAAGCUCUUUCGACCGGAACGAUAAUGACGGUACCGGGAGAAGAAGCUGCGGCUAACUACGUGCCAGCAGCCGCGGUAAUACGUAGGCAGCAAGCGCUGUUCGGAGUUACUGGGCGUAAAGAGUGCGUAGGCGGUUUUCUAAGUUCGGUGUGAAAUCUCCCGGCUUAACUGGGAGGGUGCGCCGAAGACUGGGAAGCUGGAGUGUGGGAAAGGCAGGCGGAAUUCCUGGUGUAGCGGUGAAAUGCGUAGAUAACAGGAGGAACACCGGCGGUGUAGACGGCUUGCUAGACCAUAACUGACGCUGAGGCACGAAAACGUGGGUAGCAAACA
rnacentral:rRNA from 1 species